rnacentral:rRNA from 1 species
GUGUCAGCAGCCGCGGUAAUACAGAGGUCCCGAGCGUUGUUCGGAUUCACUGGGCGUAAAGGGUGCGUAGGUGGUGAGGAAAGUCGGAUGUGAAAUCUCCGGGCUUAACCCGGAAACUGCAUUGGAAACUACCUUGCUAGAGGUUUUGAGGGGGGACUGGAAUUCUCGGUGUAGCAGUGAAAUGCGUAGAUAUCGAGAGGAACACCAGUGGCGAAGGCGAGUCCCUGGAAAACACCUGACACUGAGGCACGAAAGCUAGGGGAGCAAACAGGAUUAGAUACCCCGGUAGUCC